UUACAUCACCAAAGUGGAGGAGGCAGGCUUGGUCGCCAACAAAAAUAUGGAGGAGAUGGUUCGAACCCUCUAUGGCACCCUUGUGAAGAAAGGGAUGUCUUUUCAGAAGGACUCUCCGGUCCAGUUUAAGUACGGGUUCCUCUACAACCCAUCUUGGGAAGGUGCGGUGUACGCUGGAUUCCCGAAGAUGGGCGGUGACAGCUCGGAGUAGACAAACCGACGUGAAGUACCUAACAGGAUACUGAUAACUAAUUAAUCAUAAUAGAUAAAUAAUUAAUGAUAACAAAUACCCCAAAAGGUAGUUAUUCAAGCAACUGGAUAUGGUUUUGGAAACAAAUACCUAAUACAGUCUACUGAUAACUAGAGAACCAAUACAGUUUACUGAUAACUAAUAACCAAGACAGAUAGACAUUUUUUAGCAUUGCCUUUGAUUCACUGGGAAUCACUGUUCAGUAGCAAUACGCUGUCUGAGCAAACAAGUCUUGAAAGAAUCCAACUAGUUCUCGAAAUGACUUUUUAAAAACACCGCUCUUUGCUGAAGAGAAGCCAUUACAGCUGUGUAAUCGAGAUUGUCAUUUCCUAAACGCUCAAGUGCAACAAUUAUGAUGAAUAAACAUAGGUAUUGAA